rnacentral:rRNA from 1 species
AUUGAACGCUGGCGGCAGGCCUAACACAUGCAAGUCGAACGGUAACAGGAAGAAGCUUGCUUCUUUGCUGACGAGUGGCGGACGGGUGAGUAAUGUCUGGGAAACUGCCUGAUGGAGGGGGAUAACUACUGGAAACGGUAGCUAAUACCGCAUAACGUCGCAAGACCAAAGAGGGGGACCUUCGGGCCUCUUGCCAUCGAAUGUGCCCCGAUGGGAUUAGCUAGUAGGUGGGGUAACGGCUCACCUAGGCGACGAUCCCUAGCUGGUCUGAGAGGAUGACCAGCCACACUGGAACUGAGACACGGUCCAGACUCCUACGGGAGGCAGCAGUGGGGAAUAUUGCACAAUGGGCGCAAGCCUGAUGCAGCCAUGCCGCGUGUAUGAAGAAGGCCUUCGGGUUGUAAAGUACUUUCAGCGGGGAGGAAGGAAGUAAAGUUAAUACCUUUGCUCAUUGACGUUCCCCGCAGAAGAAGCACCGGCUAACUCCGUG